rnacentral:rRNA from 1 species
CAGCCGCCGCGGUAAUACGUAGGUGGCAAGCGUUGUCCGGAAUUAUUGGGCGUAAAGGGCUCGCAGGCGGUUUCUUAAGUCUGAUGUGAAAGCCCCCGGCCCAACCGGGGAGGGUCAUUGGAAACUGGGAAACUUGAGUGCAGAAGAGGAGAGUGGAAUUCCACGUGUAGCGGUGAAAUGCGUAGAGAUGUGGAGGAACACCAGUGGCGAAGGCGACUCUCUGGUCUGUAACUGACGCUGAGGAGCGAAAGCGUGGGGAGCGAACAGGAUUAGAGACCCGCGUAGUCCCUGUCUCUUAUAC